rnacentral:rRNA from 1 species
GUAAGAAGGUUUCCGUAGGUGAACCUGCGGAAGGAGUC